AAAAAUAAGCUAAAUUAA
rnacentral:tRNA from 1 species